rnacentral:sRNA from 1 species
ACACCGAAAGGAGGUGAUCCGAGGAAUGAUUUCCCAUCGGACAUGUGAGGUGGCUCGCCGCUGAGGCGACCAUCGGCCCGAACCGUCGGAUCGCUCCGGCGGCUCAUCGGAUCGACGGACCGCAGCGAAUCCACUCGAGCUGCCCGGACCCGCAGGGGUCGGACUCGUCCCCCGACCGGCGCCCAGCGCGACCUGCGGGUCUGCCCAUG